UACGAAGGGGGGCUAGCGUUGCUCGGAAUCACUGGGCGUAAAGCGCACGUAGGCGGAUUGCUAAGUCAGGGGUGAAAUCCUGGAGCUCAACUCCAGAACUGCCUUUGAUACUGAGGAUCUUGAGUUCGGGAGAGGUGAGUGGAACUGCGAGUGUAGAGGUGAAAUUCGUAGAUAUUCGCAAGAACACCGGUGGCGAAGGCGGUUCUCUGGGCCUUACCUGACGCUGAGGAGCGAAAGCGUGGGGAGCGAACAGG
rnacentral:rRNA from 1 species